CUAUAUGACUGAACCACUUUGCUGUACACUUGAAACUAAUACAAUACUGUAAAUCAACUAUACUUCAAUUUUUUUUAAUUUAAAAAUUAUUUUUAAAGAAGUUCGUAACAGCCAAGAAGGAAACACCUCAAAAACACCUUUCUAUUACUAAACCCAAUCUCAGUGAUUUUGGUGUCUCUUUAACUCUAGUAAUAUUUAUUCAGUUAAGGUCUGCUUUGAUUUACACCACCUUUUGUUUGGUUUAUAUUUACCAGGUAUGUCUUUUUCCAUUCUUUUACUUUUAGCCUUUCCUUAUAUUUAAAUGGUUUUGUUUGAAAACAGCAUAUAGUUGUUUUAUUUUUAAGUCUAGCCUGACAGUCUUUGCCUUUUCCUUGGGGAGUUUUGUCCACUUACACUUAAUUUAAUGUAAAAUGUAGUCAGGUUUAAGCCUAUCAUAUUGCUGUUUGGUUUUCAUUUGUCCUAUUUGUUCCUUUAUCCCUUCUUUCUUGCCUUUUUAAAAAAAUUGGGUAUUUUUUCCAUUUUUUUCUCCAUUAGCAACCCAUACAUUCUGAGAGUCUAGGACCAUAUUCUCUUCUAAAGGAAAAUUAGAGCACACGGCCUGACGCGUCUCCAGGCUCUCCCUGUGGCUGCAGCAGGCUUUGAGUAGCUGCGCUCUGCCCUGCGGAUCUACUUGGGAGAGCUGUCUGAGGAGACCUCGGAGUUGGGGGCAAGCGGUGGGUGGGUGGAGCAGCUGGAGUCAUGGAGGAGCCAGGGCAGAACCAGGGUGAGCUGCAGUGUCCACAGGGGACAAGGACUCUCAGGACAAGGGGAGGCCAGGCUGAGACGUGUCCCCACAGAGCUGUUGGACGCCGUCUGGCUGCGUCUGCCUUCCUGCCUCAGCCCCUCCACUGGGUGAGGUGAUUCUUGAGCUUGUGUCCUGAGCCAAGUCCAUCCAGCUGGUGGGCCAUGAAAUGGCAGACAGGGUGGGCAAGCCACUCCUGUCCCUCCUCCUCGUCCUUGUCGCUCUCCUCCCCUUCAACUGCAGGUUGAAAAUUUCACAGGUUACCAGGAAAACAACCACAGAGCCGUUUACCCAGGAGUCUGGGGGCCCCUGGGGUCGGGGAGCACAAGGAAACACUUACAGCACAUUCCGUGCGUCUGUCUGGGUUCUAGGGGCAUUGCCAGUAUUGGUUACCGUCCAAGAGAAUAGACGUGUUGUUAGUCUUUAUCCCAUUUCACAGAGGCAGUGGAGGGGCUAGGAGCUGCCCAAGGGAGAGCUGAGGCGGGAUCUGGGCAGUUAAACCCCGUGGCCUCAAACCAGCUUCUUCCCACGGUGGCCACAUGGCAGAGAGGGUUCUCCCCAGCACCCCUCCCAGACGCCCCUCCUUGGAGGCCCUGCUGUGUUUGCCUGAGUCUUUGCAAUAUGGGCUGUGAUUUGUGUGUAAUGGACAAAGUGAGCUGAGAGACUCACCAAAAGUUGCAAAACUAGUAUAGAGAGGUCCCGUGUACCCACCGCCAGCGCCCCACAGUGGUAACGUCUGACACGACCAAGGUGCCGCCAGCUCGGUGGGGAGCCCGGAGGCACGAUGAGCCAGACUGCGACCGUACGUGGGUGUCACCAGCUCUGCACACACUCGUUUUUUUAAAAUGCUUCUGCAAACCAGAGUCACAAGCCAUCAACAGACUCCAGAGUUCCCAAAUGGCUACAUCAGAGGAUUCUGCCCCUGCAGUUGAUGUCCUGGUGGGAGACAGAGUCUCACCUCUCACCUCCUACUCCACCAUCUGCCCCUUGUCCUGUGGCUCUUGUGCUCUUUGUACAGAGUGACACUAAUUCUUUAAUAUGAAAGCCUGGUAUAAAGAGUGUUUUUCUGUUGGGCUGUCAUUGCCUCUGAGCUUUCUCAGGGGACAGAGAUAGGGGAUGCGUCUGUGCUGAGGCAGGUCUUCUAGAAGUCCUUCCAGUGUGGUUCUCUUGCUAGUAAAGUCUCUCAGUUGUUAAUU